rnacentral:ncRNA from 1 species
AAAGGUGGAUAAAUUUGGCUGAUUGCAACCACUCCAAAAAAUGCUAAAACAGGAA